CCAGUGGCGCUGGAUGCUCUUCUGCGGGACCAGAGCCCGACUGGAAGGACCGUGGGCGGCUCAGGCGUAAAAAGAGAGCGAACCCAGGUGGAGACCAGGGGAUUGAACCUUGGCUCUCGAACAUGAUGACCUGUUUAUUCUAUGAGGCACCACAUUUAAAGAGGUGGAGGCGGUCGGCAGAGGACAAGAGCCGAGGCCCUGCGAGACCACCUCCGUGCUGCCCAGCUGGCCAUCCUGCACCUGU